rnacentral:rRNA from 1 species
AAUGAACGCUGGCGGUGUGCCUAACACAUGCAAGUCGAACGGCAACACAGUAAGCUUGUUCCCUUACCGUUGGCGGCUGGCGGGCGGGUAACGCAUGCAUCGGAUUCUUCUUUUUCUUGGGUGACAUCGUGAAACCACUUAUGCUACUACCUCAUAUGUCCUACCGGAUAAUUCAGUAGUGCUUCGGACCUUUGCUGUCUCAUAUAGCUGAGGUCGCAUUAUCUAGGUGGCGUGGUAAAGGCCCACCAAAGCGACGAUCCGUUGCUGGUCUGACAUGAUGAUCAGCCACACUGGAACUGAGACAAGGUCCAGACUCCUACGGGAGGCAGCAGGGGGGAAUAUUGGACAAUGGGGGGAAGCCUGAACGAGCCAUACCGCGUGGGUGAAGAAGGGCUUCGGGUUGUAAAACCCUUUUGUUGGGAAAGAAAAGCAGCAGGUUAAAACCCCGCUGUUCUGACGGUACCCAAAGAAUAAGCACCGGCUAACUUCGUG